GAAAUGCGAUAAUUAAUGUGAAUUGCAGAAUUCAGUCAAUCAUCGAGUCUUUGAACGCACAUUGCGCCCCCUGGUAUUCCGGGGGGCAUGCCUGUCCGAGCGUCAUUGCUGCCCUCAAGCACGGCUUGUGUGUUGGGCUUCCGUCCCUGGCAACGGGGACGGGCCCAAAAGGCAGUGGCGGCACCAUGUCUGGUCCUCGAGCGUAUGGGGCUUUGUCACCCGCUCCCGUAGGUCCAGCUGGCAGCUAGCCUCGCAACCAAUCUUUUUAACCAGGUUGACCUCGGAUCAGGUAGGGAUACCCGCUGAACUUAAGC
rnacentral:misc_RNA from 1 species